rnacentral:lncRNA from 1 species
GCCAUCUUUCCGGAAGCUCAUGGAGCACAAGCAGAACUCGAGUUUGUCGGAAAUAAUUUUAAUAUCCUGUGAAAAUGACCUUCAUUUAUGCCGAGAAUAUUUUGCCAGAGGCAUAGAUGUUCACAAUGCAGAGUUCGUUCUGACUGGAGUGCUCACUCAAACGCUGGACUAUGAAUCAUAUCCUUUCCAAAAGAGAAUUAAAAAGUAGACGGGUUAGAUAUGAAAUGGAUUUCCCAGGUUAAUAAGGCAGUACCUUUCCUGUUUUGCAAGCCAUUUUUCCUUUCUUUGCUAUUGUGAUUUAUGCAGUGAACAAUUCUUUUCUCUUCAGAAUAUUCAUUUGAGUUGCUAGUAAAAAUAUUCUCUUAACUUACUGAGAGUUCAGUUUUAAUAGGUGAUGUUAAUUAGAAAGGAUCUAUACUGUCUAGUUUAUGGAGGUAUUAAAGAAUUUGACAAUUAGAUAAAAUAGAAAAUAAUUGCAAAAAUAAAUAUAUGUUUCUUUUUAUCAGCU